CACAGCAACGCAGGCCAACAACAAGAUGCUCCGAGAGGAUGUUAUCAUAACCUCUCAGGAAUGGCCUGGAAUCCAAAUGGUCAAAGGGCACCCACCUUCUGAGACACCCUGAGCCCCUGCACGCUGCUAAAAACAGCUCUGCUGCCUCAAACGUGCAAAGUCUUAAAAAAAACAAAAGGAAGUUUGGCAAAUUAAAGGCACAUGCGCCACGAAACACCAUAGAACAGAUGCCGGAGA